rnacentral:lncRNA from 10 species
AGACGCCGGCAUCGACUCUCCGUGCUGGCUGUGUCCGGCCGCGCGACAUCUGGUCUUGGGGAAAGGGAGGUGGCGGCUCCCAGGGUGAGGGGGUCUGGUGAAGCGGGAGGGAUGAAGGACCAGACCCUUAUGGAAGGAGGAGAAAUCCUAGGUGUAAGAGGAAUGAGGGAACACUAAACAUGAGGGUCUCAGGAAGGCGAUAAGGACCUGAGGCCAGGAGGAUGAUUUAGACAGGAAUGUGGGGGUCAAGGAAAACAAGAGGACCGGAUAAUGAGAGAAAAGUGAGAAAGAGGUAUGGGAGAGGGAUUGGGGAGGAUCUGAUAUACAUGCAAAAAGAAUUAUAUACUACUGGAUGCGGUGGUGUUGGAUUACCCAAGUAGAAGACAAACUUUCACCGAUUUUUCCCUGCCCUUUCAAAUUCCCGUGCCUAGCAGGAAGGGAGUGUGGAGGAAUAGAACUGUGAUAAGAGAACAGGAACUGGGUAAAGGGGAAAUGCUUCUGCUAGGAUUUUUCUGUUAGGAUACAGGAAAGCCAUAAGGACACCAUAAAGGGAUUUUUCUGAUUGAGAUUGAAUCCUAAUCAUCUCAUGUAUGGGGUGUAAAAUUAUGCAAAGAUUAUUCCUGUAAAAAAAAAAUCAGACCAUCCUUAAAAAACUUCCUUGCUAGGAUAAAUUGAAUUAUAUUGAUUUAAACUAGAUUUAAUUUAUAAUGUACAACUGAUGUCUUUUAAAAAACCUUAUAGUUGCAGUGCAGUAUUAACUUGCAAGUACAUUCCCAAGAAGAACAACCUAGCUUAGUUAUGUUCAGUGUAAGGUAGAAUAGUUACUGAUGAGUAUGUGUUUAAGCACAAAAGGCUUAGCCUUUUUUGAGUUUGGCGAGGACAGACAGCGACCGAUUGUUUUUAUUUCCAUAAUUUUUAAGAUACCUUAACUGGACUCUGUAGGCAAAGGGAGUAGGUAGUCAAAAACAUUUUUUAACAAGCUUAAAUAUCUAUCAUGACUCAUAGAAGAAUUUCCUUAUUUCUUCACCAUCUCUACCUGCCUUCCAAAAUGCUGACUCACUGUCAGCUACUUUGACUUAAAUUUCCUUAGUGAAGGCUGAUGAACCCUUGAAUGGGAGACCUAUGUACUUUCUUCCACCCAGUUCAUUCGUAGCACUUUGUUAAUAGAACCCUCGAAACCUUCUGCCUGAUGUAACAAUAUGUGUAUGGUUCUAUCUAGUGAUUAAUAAAGAACAGUGUAGUAAAAGUGUAGAGACUUUGGAACCAGACAGAUCUUCAUCGGAAUCCCGGUUCUGUCUCUACACUUGCUCUGUGCUGUGGUUAAGUUGUUUCACAUCUCUAAAAUGGGAAUAAAAUGGGAAUAAAAAUAUCUACGUAAUAGGUU